rnacentral:rRNA from 1 species
GGGUUGUGAGGUUAAGCGACUAAGCGUACACGGUGGAUGCCCUGGCAGUCAGAGGCGAUGAAGGACGUGCUAAUCUGCGAUAAGCGUCGGUAAGGUGAUAUGAACCGUUAUAACCGGCGAUUUCCGAAUGGGGAAACCCAGUGUGUUUCGACACACUAUCAUUAACUGAAUUCAUAGGUUAAUGAGGCGAAC